UUAAGCUAAUAAGAGCGCAGGGAGGAUGCCUUGGCAUCAGGAGCCGAAGAAGGACGUGGUAAGCUGCGAAAAGCUACGGGGAUUGGCAAGCACGAUAUGAUCCGUAGAUAUCCGAAUGGAGCAAUCCACAUGGAGUCAAGUCCAUGUAUCAUAUACUGAAUAAAUAGGUAUAUGAGGGGAACCGCCCGAACUGAAACAUCUAAGUAGGGCGAGGAAAAGAAAUCAACCGAGAUUCUGUGAGUAGUGGCGAGCGAAAGCGGAAGAGGCUAAACCGAGAGGAGCAAUCCUUUCGGGGUUUAGGACUGCAUUUAGUACAAUGAUUGUUAACCGAACAGCAUGGGAAGGCUGAUCAGAGAAGGUGAGAAUCCUGUAGGUGAAAACGAAAGUUGACGAGCAGUAUCCGAAGUACCGCGGGGCACGUGAAAUCCCGUGGGAAGAUGGGGGGACCAUCCUCCAAGCCUAAAUACUACCUGAUGACCGAUAGCGAAAAGUACUGUGAAGGAAAGGUGAAAAGCACCCCGGGAGGGGAGUGAAAGAGAACCUGAAACCCUGUGCUUACAAGCACUUAGAGCACGUCAAAGUGUGAUAAGGUACCUAUUGUAGAAUGGUCCGGCGAGUUAUUGUAUGCAGCGAGGUUAAGUAGUUCAGCUACGGAGCCGAAGUGAGAGCGAGUGUUAACAGCACGUUCAGUUGCAUGCAAUAGACCCGAAACCGGGUGACCUAUCCAUGUCCAGGAUGAAGUGAGGGUAAAACCUCAUGGAGGUCCGAACCCACUCCCGUUGAAAUGGUAGGGGAUGAGGUGUGGAUAGCGGAGAAAUUCCAAUCGAACCCGGAUAUAGCUGGUUCUCCCCGAAAUAGUUUUAGGACUAGCCUCGUGAUUAAGAUUAUCGGAGGUAAAGCACUGAAUGGCCUAGGGGUCGAGAGAUUACCGAAGCCUAUCAAACUCUGAAUGCCGAAUAAUCAUGCACGGGAGUCAGACUGUGUGAGAUAAGUUUCAUAGUCGAAAGGGAAACAGCCCAGACCUACAGCUAAGGUCCCAAAGUACGUUUAAGUGGAAAACGAUGUGAAAUUGCGUAGACAACCAGGAUGUUGGCUUAGAAGCAGCCAUACAUUAAAAGAGUGCGUAAUAGCUCACUGGUCGAGUGACUUUGCGCGGAAAAUUUAACGGGGCUAAAACGUACACCGAAGCUUAGGCUUGUCACUAUGUGACAGGGGUAGGGGAGCGUUGAAUGAGGGGUGAAGUCGUAGCGAAAGCGACGGUGGACUUCAUUCAAGUGAGAAUGCCGGAAUGAGUAGCGAGAAUUAUGUGAGAAUCAUAAUGGCCGAAAGCCUAAGGUUUUUGGAGGAAGGUUCGUCCGCUCCAAGUAAGUCGGAAGCUAAGGUGAGGCUGAAAAGCGUAGCCGAUGCACAAACGGUUGAAAUUCCGUUACCACAGAAAGAUUUAAACUAAGGGACACUUUUGAAGAGCUGAUGCCGGGUGUUGGUUACCCCGGUCGUAAGGGAACGAAAUCAAGUAGUGAAGUCAGCGUGGAUGAAGGCGAGAAAAGCUUAGUGUAUAUCUUAUGUGUCCGUACCGCAAACCGACACAGGUAGGUAGGAAGAGAAUUCUAAGGCCAACGGGAGAAGGGUAGUUAAGGAACUCGGCAAAAUGUCCCCGUAACUUCGGAAUAAGGGGAGGUUUCUACGGAAACCCGCAGAGAAUAGUCCCAGGCAACUGUUUAUCAAAAACACAGCUCUAUGCUAAAUCGAAAGAUGACGUAUAUGGGGUGACGCCUGCCCGGUGCCGGAAGGUUAAGAGGAGGAGUGAGAGCCCUGAAUCGAAGCCCCGGUAAACGGCGGCCGUAACUAUAACGGUCCUAAGGUAGCGAAAUUCCUUGUCAGGUAAGUUCUGACCCGCACGAAUGGCGUAAUGAUCUGGGAGCUGUCUCAACUGCCCGCCCGGCGAAAUUGUAGUACCGGUGAAGAUGCCGGUUACCCGCGACUAGACGGAAAGACCCCAUGGAGCUUUACUGUAGCUUAAUAUUGGAUUUCGGCAUUUCAUGUACAGGAUAGGUGGGAGACUAGGAAACAUAGGCGUCAGCUUAUGCGGAGUCGUCCUUGGGAUACCACUCUUGGAGUGCUGAAAUUCUAACCUGCAGCCCUGAAUCGGGUUGGGGGACAUUGUUAGGUGGGCAGUUUGACUGGGGCGGUCGC
rnacentral:rRNA from 1 species